rnacentral:rRNA from 1 species
GUGGGGAAUAUUGGACAAUGGGGGGAACCCUGAUCCAGCCAUGCCGCGUGUGUGAAGAAGGCCUUUUGGUUGUAAAGCACUUUAAGCGAGGAGGAGGCUACCGAGAUUAAUACUCUUGGAUAGUGGACGUUACUCGCAGAAUAAGCACCGGCUAACUCUGUGCCAGCAGCCGCGGUAAUACAGAGGGUGCAAGCGUUAAUCGGAUUUACUGGGCGUAAAGCGCGCGUAGGUGGCCAAUUAAGUCAAAUGUGAAAUCCCCGAGCUUAACUUGGGAAUUGCAUUCGAUACUGGGAAGCUAGAGUAUGGGAGAGGAUGGUAGAAUUCCAGGUGUAGCGGUGAAAUGCGUAGAGAUCUGGAGGAAUACCGAUGGCGAAGGCAGCCAUCUGGCCUAAUACUGACGCUGAGGUACGAAAGCAUGGGGAGCAAACAGGAUUAGAAACCCUGGUAGUCC